UAGCGCUAGCUGCCAGUGCUAGCACAACAGUGGCAAAAGCAAAGGCCUUCGCUAGCGCUAGCUCCCAGUGCUAGCACAACAGUGGCAAAGGCUGUAGUUAGCGCCGGCUCCCAGUGCUAGCACAACAGUGGCAAAGGCCGUAGCUAGUGCCGGCUCCCAGUGCUAGCACGACAUUGGCAAAAGCAAAGGCCUUCGCUAGCGCUAGCUUCCAGUGCUAGCACAACAGUGCCAAAAGCUAGCAGCACAUGUGGAUUAAUGCAGCCUGUGAUUACUGUGUUCACGUCCUCCUGUGUGUGUGUGUGUGUGUGGGGGAGUGUGUGUGUGUGUGUGUGAGUGUGUGUGUGUGUGAGUGGGUGUGUGUGUUCACGUCCUCCUGUUCAAACCUUGUGGCUCUUGCCCACAUUAAGGUCUGUGUUUUUUUUAUCGGUGUGUUGUUUUAUGUUAAUGUGUGUGUGUGGUUUUAGGAAGUGGUUUCUAGUGUGAGAGUGUAUGUUGGAGUGUGUUUUGUUUGAAACACCCAAUUUUACAUUCAGUCAACUGGAGAUGUCCGACUUUGUGUCUUCCGAUUCUACUUACAAACAAACAAAAACUGACAUAAGAGUUUGAAUUUGUGAGAGUGUCACGUAUCAUACAUAUAUCUGAGUGUGUGUGUGUGUUUGUGUGUGUGUGUGUGUGUGUGUGUGUGUGUGUACGCAGGAUGUUUAUAACACGUUAAUGAGCAGCUAUGCAAGCUCUGGUGUUC
ensembl:lncRNA